ACGCAUGUCCAUUUAGACCAUUUCAACUGGCGCUUGACCCUUUCCACCAGGUUCCAAACCUUCUAGGGUGGUGUAUAACCAGUUCUAAGGGUUCAUGAGGGGCCUUCACAGUUCUGAGACCUCAGUGUGGUCUCAGAUUUGGAUUUGUUUGGUGGUUGAGGGUGUUUGGGAGUCAUGGGUGAUAUGGUUGGGGACUGGAGGGAUCAGGGAUUAUCUAGGAGGAUUUUGAGUCAUUCCGACGUGUUUUGUGUUUUAGGGUCUUCAAAUUGAUAUUUGAAGAGUUUCAGGAAGAUUUAAGAAGGGUGACAUACAUGGUUGGAAAGAGGGGAUUGAGGUGCCUUAGGGGUGUAAAUUUGG
rnacentral:lncRNA from 1 species